CCUACGGGAGGCUGCAGUGAGGAAUAUUGGUCAAUGGGAGGAAUCCUGAACCAGCCAUGCCGCGUGCAGGACGACGGCUCUACGAGUUGUAAACUGCUUUUGUACCGGGGUAAAAUGCUCUACGAGUAGGGUUUUGAAAGUACGGUACGAAUAAGGAUCGGCUAACUCCGUGCCAGCAGCCGCGGUAAUACGGAGGAUCCGAGCGUUAUCCGGAUUCAUUGGGGUUAAAGGGUGCGUAGGUUGUUUUAUAAGUUAGCUGUGAAAUACAGAUGCUCAACAUCGGGGAUGCCGCUGAUACUGUAGGACUAGAGAGCGGAUGCAGCAGGCGGAAUGUGUAGGGUAGGGGUGAAAUGCAUAGAUAUUAACGAGAAAACCGAUUGCGAAGGCAGCUUGCUAGGCCGGAUCUGACACUGAUGCACGAAAGCGUGGGGAUCGAACAGGAUUAGAUACCCUUGUAGUC
rnacentral:rRNA from 1 species